CAGACAUGCACAAGGUGGACAAAUACAUAUUUUACCAGACUGGCUUACCAUGGCCGCCCAGAGUCGGAUGGGGAAGAGGGCAGAGGGGCUGUCUGUGCACCUAAGGAUUCAGUGGAAGGUGUGGAGCUCCUUGCAGGGAGGGUCCUGUGCGAGUCCAUAUCAGGUGGCCCGUGGGUCUGUGGUGGAGGCUGAGGAGUCUAUGCCGGAAGCUGAAGGAGCUGCACCGGAAGCCGAAGUCUGCGCUGGAAGCCAGGAGAUGACGUCCAAGGUGAAGGCAAAGACUGCAGCGCCUCUGAAGACCAGAAACAGCCGAAGUAAACAUCUCUUCUCUGUGAACUCUCAGCCUCAGACAGAGACUGCAGGUCAGGUUCCUCAGGGAACGCAGGGCUCCCAGCUGCAGGAUGGAGUCCAGCCCCCCCCCCCCCAAGGCCUGGCGGCCUCCUGACUUCCCUGCUGCCUUCUCUGGGCCGCCUCGGGUGGGGUGGG
rnacentral:lncRNA from 1 species